CCGCCUCAUCUCCCACUACUUCCCGCACUUUUACCCUUUUUUUACCCUUUUGCGGAGCCUGCCCUGCACCCUCCGGACCUGCGCCCCGCAGCGGCGUCCACCAUCCACUCUGCACCCUAGCUGCAGCCCGACCCAGAGCCAGAAGGAGACUCAGACGACAGCACUGCCCUGGGCACCCUGGAGUUCACACUUCUUUUUGAAGCGGACAACAGUCCUCAUCGUGCCAAGGUGAGGAUGGGGGUGGGUGUUCCUGGGACAGAGGGCUGGGCCACGGGCCUGUCUCAUACCCACUGUCUGUUCCCAGGGCCUCAAGCCAUUGGCCUCAGGCUCCGCAGAUGCCUAUGUCAAAGCCAAUCUGCUGCCAGGGGCCAGCAAGGCCAGCCAGCUUCGGACACGCACCGUUCAGGGCACGAGGGUACCUGUCUGGGAGGAGACACUCACCUAUCACGGCUUCACCCGCCAGGAUGCUGAGUGCAAGACCCUUAGGCUGUGUGUGUGCGAGGACCCAUGGCUGCAGCGACAGCGGCAGGCACCUUCCCUGGGGGAGCUGCGGGUGCCCCUGAGGAAGCUGGUGCCAAACCGAGCCAGGAGCUUUGACAUCUGUCUGGAGAAGCGGAGGCUGGCCAAGAGGCCCAAGAGCCUGGACACAGCCUGCGGCAUGUCCCUCUAUGAGGAGGAGGUGGAGACAGAGGUGGCCUGGGAGGAACAUGGGCGCGUCCUACUGUCACUGUGCUACAGCUCUCAGUGGGCUGGCUUGCUGGAAUUCUUUUACUCAGGCCCACGGGAGGAGCUGGCCCAGAAGACGCUGCUGGUGUCCGUGUGGGACUAUGACCUAGGCACGGCUGAUG
rnacentral:sRNA from 1 species